rnacentral:rRNA from 1 species
GACAGAGGGUGCAAACGUUGUUCGGAAUUACUGGGCGUAAAGCGCGUGUAGGCGGCCCUGCAAGUCGGAUGUGAAAUCCCUCGGCUCAACUGAGGAAGUGCAUCCGAAACUGGCAAGCUUGAGUACGAAAGAGGGUCGCGGAAUUCCCAGUGUAGAGGUGAAAUUCGUAGAUAUUGGGAAGAACACCGGCGGCGAAGGCGGCUAUCUGGACCGUAACUGACGCUGAGGCGCGAAAGCGUGGGGAGCAAACAGG